rnacentral:sRNA from 1 species
UUAGCGACAACAAUAGCUAGCCAACUACUCCUACUCUACUACUGGUAGUAGUACACAACAGUAUUAUCGCAUAGUACUGAGCUGUUACUGAAUGGCCUAGCUUAGUUUUGGCUUGACGUACGCCUUUGAACAACCAAAGUCGUGAGCAAAAACAGAUUAGGAAUUUGGAAUAAGUUAUGUGUGUGUGCUUGAGAAAUCACCAUGGAAACGAACGAAUAUUCGGUGACGC